UCCACCCAAUUUGUUGCAAUUGCCAAUAAUAACAAUGACCCAAUUCCAUGUGUACUGUUUUGAUGGCCUUGAUUUGAAGGCAUCCACGUUUUACUUACAAACUGCUUCAAGUUUGAAGAGUAGGUGAAACUUGAAAGUGAGAAUAGCAGAUGGUAUUGUACUUACUGGUCCAACACCGGGUACACGCGGAGCCUUCAUGAAUUCUUAGCCAAGAGAGAAGGUAAAGAGGAGAAAAGAAAGAGAAAGAGAGAUGCCGCCACCAGGAUGGGGACCGCCGCCAGGAGGACCGCCAGGGCCCCCCGGAAUAUGUGGCUGCUUUGAUUUUCUUUGUGGUGGUAUUUGCCGUCUUAUAUCUUCAUGUUUUUAUGUACUGUGCUGUUGCUGCAUCUUUGAACGCUGCUGUGGGCCAAUGUUCGGUGGCCCACCUGGACCUCCAGGGCCACGACCUUUUUAAUCAGCCCAUUGCCCUUUUACUGUCCAUCUGCGUCUCUUCUAGUUGUAUAUCAUGAUUUAUGACAUGUCAUUUAUGUGUAUGCAACUAAAAAUCUAAAACAUGUGCCUCUGAGUUUAAUUUGAAUGCCUAUUCUACUUUUAUA